AAAAACGUCAGCUAAGACCGCAUAGGUGUAGAGAUCGCAUGAACUCUAUAUGAAAAGUGCUACGGGACUGGUAGAUGAUGGACUUAUGGCGCAUUAGCUUGUUGGUAGGGUAACGGCCUACCAAGGCGACGAUGCGUAGCCGACCUGAGAGGGUGACCGGCCACACUGGGACUGAGACACGGCCCAGACUCCUACGGGAGGCAGCAGUAGGGAAUUUUCGGCAAUGGGGGAAACCCUGACCGAGCAACGCCGCGUGAAGGAAGAAGUAAUUCGUUAUGUAAACUUCUGUCAUAGAGGAAGAACGGUGGAUAUAGGGAAUGAUAUCCAAGUGACGGUACUCUAUAAGAAAGCCACGGCUAACUACGUGCCAGCAGCCGCGGUAAUACGUAGGUGGCGAGCGUUAUCCGGAAUUAUUGGGCGUAAAGAGGGAGCAGGCGGCACUAAGGGUCUGUGGUGAAAGAUCGAAGCUUAACUUCGGUAAGCCAUGGAAACCGUAGAGCUAGAGUGUGUGAGAGGAUCGUGGAAUUCCAUGUGUAGCGGUGAAAUGCGUAGAUAUAUGGAGGAACACCAGUGGCGAAGGCGACGAUCUGGCGCAUAACUGACGCUCAGUCCCGAAAGCGUGGGGAGCAAAUAGGAUUAGAUACCCCCCUAGUCCACGCCGUAAACGAUGAGUACUAAGUGUUGGGGGUCAAACCUCAGUGCUGCAGUUAACGCAAUAAGUACUCCGCCUGAGUAGUACGUUCGCAAGAAUGAAACUCAAAGGAAUUGACGGGGGCCCGCACAAGCGGUGGAGCAUGUGGUUUAAUUCGAAGCAACGCGAAGAACCUUACCAGGUCUUGACAUCGAUCUAAAGGCUCCAGAGAUGGAGAGAUAGCUAUAGAGAAGACAGGUGGUGCAUGGUUGUUGUCAGCUCGUGUCGUGAGAUGUUGGGUUAAGUCCCGCAACGAGCGCAACCCCUGUUGCCAGUUGCCAGCAUUAAGUUGGGGACUCUGGCGAGACUGCCGGUGACAAGCCGGAGGAAGGCGGGGAUGACGUCAAAUCAUCAUGCCCCUUAUGACCUGGGCUACACACGUGCUACAAUGGACAGAGCAGAGGGAAGCGAAGCCGCGAGGUGGAGCGAAACCCAUAAAACUGUUCUCAGUUCGGACUGCAGUCUGCAACUCGACUGCACGAAGAUGGAAUCGCUAGUAAUCGCGAAUCAGCAUGUCGCGGUGAAUACGUUCUCGGGCCUUGUACACACCGCCCGUCACACCAUGAGAGUCGGUAACACCCGAAGCCGGUGGCCUAACCGCAAGGAAGGAGCUGUCUAAGGUGGGACUGAUGAUUGGGGUGAAGUCGGAACAAGGUA
rnacentral:rRNA from 1 species